rnacentral:lncRNA from 1 species
GGCCAGAGACAUACCAGAGUGUCAGGUUUUUUGAGAAAACUAAGCAUGCUUUCUGAGUCUAGGCAAUGGCAAAGCAAGCAGACCCAAGCCCCUGCAAGAAGGAAGAAAGGCGUAUGCAUAGCAUGUUGUAAAUGGAAGGGGCAUGUCAUCUGGUCCAACCUCCUCUCUGAAGUUAUGGGAAGAACCAUUACUUCUUUCCUGAUGCAGAAAUUAGGACCUGACUCAGUGGAUAGAAUGGUGGAAGAUAGGUAUUUCUAGAAGGCCUGGCCAUGUUUUUUGUUUUUUCUGAGAAUGUGAAGAACUACAGAAUACUAUUUCACCAUUGCUGGGACUGUGAUGAAGACACAACACUAUGAAUGAUCAAACAAGAGGACUGUUGAAUUGUACCGUGAGAUCACAUCUGAGAUUAAGCCCCCUGGGUUUAAUCUAGACUGUAGAAGACCAAGAUGAUAUGCAACUAAGUGAGGCAAUAAGGUGGACUUCCCUUCAAGAAAUGGAUUUCCUAAGCCUUCGACACGAACUUCAUUCAGAAGCAAUAAAGACCCAAGUAGACUUGCCACCAUAUAGCCACUGGCUGGGCCUUGCAAGUCAUCUCAACAGGAGAGAAUGUUUGCCUUCUUUAUCCUUUCCACCUUUAAUGCUCAAAGUUGAUCAAUUUGGACUCUCCUUACUUCCCUGCAAAAGGAGUUUGGUAGCUGAACAUACUGGCAUACCAUGAAGGAAGAAAUACUGUGUGACUUACUGACCUCCAAAGUGUGCUGCAGACUCUGCAACCCACCAAACCUGAGAUGAAAGGGAACAAAACAGGCUCAUGGUGAGUAUCCCCUGCCUUGCUGCAUCCAGUUUCAACCUUCGAGUCUUCCACAGCCAGCAAGGUGAGGGUAAUCCUUUCUAGUGCUACCAGACUUGUGCAUCUCCUUUCCAUAGUCACAUCUUCUGGAUCCACUUUCAAGGACUCUUUCAAUGUCUUUGGACUCAUGCAAAUCCCCUUGGAUAGCUGUCUUAUUCUGAGACUAUCUAUGUAACACACUGCAUUCAUCCGUAACUUAAGUUCCAAGGGUUCAUCUGAGAUGGCUAAUCUUCAGUGUCUACUUGAUUUGGACACACCCAGAAAACAUACCUCUGGGCAUCUAUGCGAGGGCAUUUUCAGAUUUAACUGGAGACAAUAACAACUCUGAAUGUUGGCAGCACCAUCCCAUGGGCUAUGGGCCUAGACUGAAUAAAAAGGAGAAAGUGAGCUGAACACUAGCAUUCAUCCAUCUUGCUGAUUCUUGACCCAAUGUGACUAGCUGCCACGUAUCUCUGCCACAGCGUCUUCCCUUCCACAAGAGACUGCCUCUCCUAACAUGUGAGCCAAAGGAAACUCUUUAGAAUUUUUUUUAAUCACAGCAAUGUGAAAAAUAACUAAUGUAGCAUCUAACAUCAUCAAGGUCAUAGGUUCUGGAGUUUUGCACGUGGAUAUGUCCUAAAUCAUGAAGCCAGGGUUCUGUCUACCGCAAGGCAACAUUCCAUAUUUUUUCCAGUAAUGUGAGGUGUUUUCUAUUCUUUACUCCCACACUGUAAGAAAUUCAAAUGCAAAAAAAGCACUCACUUGUGCUACACAAAGCAAAAAGAACCAUGGUUACUCUUCAUCAAUUAUUGCUGUGACAGGCAAUGUAUUUUGAAUCAUUUGCUUUUUAAAGUUGUGCUUCUGUGGGGCAGAAGAUAAUAUUGCCUUCUACAGAUGAAAGAAGUUAGAGGCUCAGAAGGCUUGAGGUCCACUCAGCUACUGAAUUCAGAUUGGCUUCUCCUCAGCCAUGAACUAUAGAGCGCCUCCCAUACCUCUUUACCUCUAAAGUUCAGCCAUGGAGACAAGCCUCCCAGAAUCUCAUUACCUUCUCUUUUCUCAUCUAGUGAGCUCUUUAAUUGGAAUCUGGAUUCAUUUUAAGCCUUUCUCCUGAAGUGCAUAUUUGAAUGUGGAAAGCAGAACUGAAGAACAUUCUUGAUGAACACUACCUAGAAUCCUACAGAUCAACAUUGACAUUUUUCUCCCAUUGACAGUCAUCUGCUCUCGGUAUACAUUGUUUUCAAGGAUGCCUUUCUUCCUAGUGUAUCCCAUGUUCUUUUACUGAGACUGCACUGUGCCUGAGUAGAUGUCAAACUGCCCAACUUCCCCCAUAGCUUCUUGCUCAAAACCAGAAAAGAAAUAAUAAGCAACAAAUGAAAUUAUUUUCUACCUGAGGUCUGCCAUAGUACAUGGGUUGGUUUGGUUCUUGGUUUUGGAGGUCUUUGUUGUAAAAUUGGGUAGUUCUGCUCUCUGCCACAAAGGAAAAGAAAUAUUGUUUAGGUUCCUUCCUAAUGAUCUCAAAUUGAACCCCACACUAAUUCCCCCAACUAAACUACUAGUUGUGUGAACUUUUCCUGGGGACAUACACAAACCCCAGCCAUGACAUAAAGAACCAAGGAACAAUUUCAGCCAAGGUUAACUUGGUGAACUGAUAUGUUUAGUAUGGGCACAGGUGAGAGAUUACAGAUUAUUUUCAGGUAAAUGUGCAAUUUAAAAGGACUUGAGAAGCUAUACCAUUCAAGAAAAUGUCUUUUUUCUCCAGGCAACUUUAACUUCUAUAUAUCUUCAGGGAGUGUGGGGGGACUUAGGAGUCCCCUCUUCUCCACAGAAAAUCUGUCUAAGACAUCACUUAGCUCAGCUCCAGUAGAGGUAGGAUAAAGCACACUCCUCAAUGCAAUAUAGUGCCUUGGACUGGUUCCUGAAAGCACAUUAAUGGGAAAAUUAACUGUGAAAUUAGAAUAAAUUCUAGAGUUCGGAAUACUGUAUCGAUGUUAGUUUUGGAAAACACACAGUGGAGAUGUAAAGGCACACCCCUGAUAAAAGCUUGGGAGAGUGUAUGGGAAUUCACUAUUCUGUCUUGGCAACUUUUCUGCAGAGUAAAAAAUGAUUUUUUUUCCUCUGCCAUUCUCUGUUACUCCUCUGUCUGGGAAGCAGCUCAUUCCAGAGAGUCACAGAUGACCCCAGAAGGGUAUCUACUUGUAAUGCACCUGGAAGCAUGGACUUUUGCAAGUGCCAAUGUUGGGGGCUUGGGAAAUGGCUCAGAGUGGUUGCUGUGCAAGCAUGAGAAUCUGAAUUUGAAUCUCUAGCACCUACUUUUAAAAAGCCAGGCUUAACCACCCAUGGGGUAGAAUCCCAGCACAGUGGGAGCAGGAGAAUGGGGCUUGAUUGUUGUCAUUCUGGCUCCAGGUUUGGUGAGGGGCCCUGUCUCAGAAGAUACAACUUCCUUUGGCUUCCAAACAGGCAUGCUUAGAUGUGCCCAUAUACCACACAAAGUCACAUAAGCACAUACAAUAAAAAAAAUACCCAAAGUGGCAAUUUAAAAUGUUUGGAUGUUUUAGCUACAUCUAAAGUAGCAAAGAAAGGGACUAUUGGAAUGAAAAAUAGUAAAAAAAAUGUUUU